GAUGAACGCUAGCGGCAGGCCUAAUACAUGCAAGUCGGACGGGAUUCAGGAGCUUGCUUCUGAUGAGAGUGGCGCACGGGUGCGUAACACGUAUGUAACCUACCUUUAUCAGGGGGAUAGCCUCUCGAAAGAGAGAUUAAGCCCGCAUAAAAUCACAGCACAGCAUUGUGUAAUGAUCAAAUAUUUAUAGGAUAAAGAUGGGCAUGCGGAACAUUAGCUAGAUGGCGGGGUAACGGCCCACCAUGGCGACGAUGUUUAGGGGAUCUGAGAGGAUGGCCCCCCACACUGGUACUGAGACCCGGACCAGACUCCUACGGGAGGCAGCAGUAAGGAAGAUUGGUCAAUGGGCGGAAGCCUGAACCAGCCAUGCCGCGUGCAGGAAGACGGCCCUACGGGUUGUAAACUGCUUUUAUACGGGAAUAAACCCAGAUACGUGUAUCUGGCUGAAUGUACUGUAAGAAUAAGGAUCGGCUAACUCCGUG
rnacentral:rRNA from 1 species